rnacentral:pre_miRNA from 1 species
AUAAAGUUUGGACCGACGGUCUACCGCGCAAUUGCACCCGCUCGGUAGAAGGUCUUUCCUUUGUCGU